rnacentral:rRNA from 1 species
CGCAGCCGCGGUAAUUCCAGCUCCAAUAGCGUAUAUUAAAGUUGUUGCAGUUAAAAAGCUCGUAGUUGAAUUUCGGGAUCAAAUUGUCGGUCGUGCCUCGGUACGUACUGGUAUUAUUGGUUCCUCCCUUCUGACGAACCACGAUGUCAUUAAUUUGGUGUCAUGGGAAAUCAGGACUGUUACUUUGAAAAAUUAGAGUGUUUAAAGCAGGCUCGCGCUUGAAUACAUUAGCAUGGAAUAAUGAAAUAGGACGUUUGAUUCUAUUUUGUUGGUUUCUAGGAUCGACGUAAUGAUUAAUAGGGAUAGUUGGGGGCAUUAGUAUUCAAUUGUCAGAGGUGAAAUUCUUGGAUUUAUUGAAGACUAACUACUGCGAAAGCAUUUUGCCAAGGAUGUUUUCAUUAAUCAAGAACGAAAGUUAGGGGAUCGAAGACGAUCAGAUACCGUCGUAGU